rnacentral:lncRNA from 1 species
GGUGGUUUAUUUUGAGGGCUAUGUAAUGAAGAAUUGUGUGAUUUAGGGGUCUUGAUGCAUGCGAUCUUUAAUGCUUACAAUCUCCAAAAUGGCAUUUUAUCGAAGGGAACGACUAGGGCACCUUUUCUUGGAAGGCAUGAGUUCUAGAGCCAUUAGGGUUGUGACAUCUGAUGCAUGACUAAGGCGAUGAUGGGGUGUGCUCCUGCCCACUUCCUAUAUAAAUAGAGG